rfam:Oryza sativa (indica cultivar-group) chromosome 3, whole genome shotgun sequence.
AAUAAGUGGAGUUUUACAUUGUUCAUGUUCAUCAUUUGACCGUUCGUCUUAUUUGAAAAUAUUUUAUAAUUAAUAUUUUUACUGUUAUUAGAUGAUAAAACAUGAAUAAUACUUUAUGUGUGACUAUUUUUUUAAAAAAAUUGUUAAAUUUUUCAAAUAAGACGGACGGUCAAACGUUGGACACGGAUAUUCACGACUGCACUUAUU